CACACGACCGAUGCAUCGUGUAACGGAGGAGAUCGGUAGAACAAACAGCGAUUUUUCUCGACAAGACAUCUUACCGAUUAAUUUCAGUCUCCCGUCGGGGCCUGAACAUCGUUGGGAAAAUUUCAUCGGGUUUUUCGAAGCUUGGUUCUCGCGUUCAACAGUAACCGAUCAUGGCAAAGAAAAUAAAUAAUCGUUCCUUGAUGUUGUUUGCAUUUCCUCGAUUCUCUGCUUAAGAUCUUCUUACAAAUGAAGGAGCAUGAAACAACGAUUUUACGCAAAUGGAGCCAACAAACCGGAACAAACACCAAAAGAACUGAAUACAAGAACUGAAUACUAUUUUCCGCAUUCCUACUAUUUAAUAUGUAUUGUUUUAAGUCGAUGCAUAUGCAAUGUCGUAUAAAAUGAAAUUUUGAUCACAUCGUUAUAUUUAAA
rnacentral:misc_RNA from 1 species